rnacentral:tRNA from 1 species
CAAAGCCAAGCGGUUGGCUUCCCAAGCCGAGGGUCGCGGGUUCGAGUCCCGUCUAUCGCU